rnacentral:lncRNA from 1 species
CUUGACGAUGGCGCCUGCUCGUUCCGUUGUGUUCUGUCUGAGGAGUGCUUUUCUUUCCUUUUUGGGAGGCUGAGAGCACUGGGCAGAGGUUGCACUUGGCACAUUACAACUCCGUUGUCACUGCUGUGGCUGUUAUUCCCCUCGGCAAGAGCCAAGGAUCCAACAGGACGUGAAGAUGCUGGUGUUCCACAUCCAAUUGCUCUCGUCUUUCCAAGACUGUGGCACUCCAGGAAAUCUUCCCUACUGAAGGGGGACCACGAGCUACAGUAUCUCUUAGAUGAAAUCAACCGGUAAGUCUUUACCAGCAAAUUUAAUAUUUUGUUUCCAAAGCGUACCAAAUAACCACAAAGAUCACCUCAGUACCCAGGGCCCUGUCUGAAGACAUGAAGCAAAACCUCUUCAUAGUCACAAGCAAAAGUUAACGACUUAGAAUGUUUCAGUCUGCCCUAAUACGUCUAGUCUAUGAAGGUGGCACUUAAAGUGAUUUCUAACUGUUAAAGGAGAAAUUUAACUUUCUCGGUUUUAUAAACAUUUAGUGAGGCUUAUGAUUUGCAAGGAAGACUUGCUGGGGUUCUGUGGUGUACCAGCUUCCAUCAGCUGGCUUUCCCUCUUCUCUCAGGAUAUCAUACUUUCACACAGAAUCUUAACAUUUCCUUGUGAAUGGUUUCCAUAGGGGCCUCGACUAGCAUGGUGCCUGGCAGUGUUUGCUGGGGCACCAGAGACUUAAGCUGGCUCCUGGUGAGUUUACUGAUGAUAGUGGUUGCAGCACCCGUACUUUUUAAAAUUUUAGUAAAAUAUGCAUAACUUAAAAAUUAACAUCUUAACCAUUUUUAAGUAUACAAUUCAGGAACGUUAAAUAUAUUCUCAUUGUUGUGCUACCAUCACCACCUACAUCCACAGAACUCUUGCACAACUAAAGCUCUAUACCCAUUAAAUAACCACUCCUUAUUCCUCCCUGCCCCCUAGCCCCUGGCAAUCACCAUUCUACUUUCUAUCUCUAUGAAUUUGACUACUUAACCUCAUAUAAGUGGAAUCGUACAGUGUUUGUUGUUCUGUCACUGGCUUAUAUCACUUAGAAUAACGUCCUCAAGGUUUAUCUUUAUUGUAGCAUGUAUCAGAAUUUCCUUUGAUUUUUUCUUUUUGAGGAGGAGGAUUAGCCCUGAGCUAAUAUCCACCACCAACCCUCCUCUUUUUGCUGAGGAAGAUUGGCCCUGACCUAACAUCUUUGCCCAUCUUCCUCUACUUUAUAUGU